UCCGGGUUUCGCCCGGCAGUCUCCCUAGAGUGCCCAACUUAAUGCUGGCAACUAAGGACAAGGGUUGCGCUCGUUGCGGGACUUAACCCAACAUCUCACGACACGAGCUGACGACAGCCAUGCAGCACCUAUUAAGCGGCCCGAAGGCGAUGACUUCUCUGCCAUCUUCCACUUAACUUCGAACCCAGGUAAGGUUUUUCGCGUUGCAUCGAAUUAAACCACAUGCUCCACCGCUUGUGCGGGCCCCCGUCAAUUUCUUUGAGUUUUAAUCUUGCGACCGUACUUCCCAGGCGGGACACUUAACGCGUUAGCUUCGUCACUGAAGGGGUCAAUACCUCCAACAACAAGUGUCCAUCGUUUACAGUGUGGACUAC
rnacentral:misc_RNA from 1 species